rnacentral:rRNA from 1 species
AUAUCAGUCAUGCAUAGCAUAUCAAUAAGCGGAGGAAAAGAAACUAACAAGGAUUCCCUUAGUAACGGCGAGUGAAGCGGGAAGAGCUCAAAUUUGAAAUCUUCAAGGUUUUACCUUGACGAAUUGUAGUUUAAAGAAGUGUUUUCUGUUGAAGUUUUGGUAAAAGUUCUUUGGAAUAGGACAUCAUAGAGGGUGAGAAUCCCGUAUUUGACCAUUACUUUCAGCUUUGUGAUACACUUUCAAAGAGUCGGAUUGUUUGGGAAUGCAGUCCAAAAUGGGUGGUAAAUUUCAUCUAAAGCUAAAUAUUGGCGAGAGACCGAUAGCGAACAAGUACCGUGAGGGAAAGAUGAAAAGAACUUUGAAAAGAGAGUUAAACAGUACGUGAAAUUGUCAAAAGGGAAGCGUUUGACACCAGUGUUGUUUUCUCGAAAAUCAAUUAAAAAGAGUUGGAUUUUGUGUUGUAUUGACUUUAUCAGCUUUCUUCACUCUUUUCCAGCUUUUUUUAAUGCACUUUUCGUUUAACAAGUCAACAGUCAGUUUCUUUUGUUGUAAAAAGGUCAUUGGAAGGUGGCUUUCUCUUCGGAGAAAGUGUUUAUAGCCUUUGACUCAUGCAAUCGGAGAGACUGAGGUCUGCAGCGUAGAUCCUUCGGGGUUAGAUACAUUUGUGCUAAGUUAUAGCUUUUCAUAGACAACUUGUUGACUAUGUUUAGUCUUGUAGCUUACUCGCUUAUGCUAUUUUACCUACGCUUAGGAUGUUGAACUCUAUCACACACAG